UGCCUAAUAGCUAGCCCCCUACCUGAAACCAACAUAACAUCAUAAAUACCCCCAAAUUACCGUAACACCACAAAACAAACCAUUUUUCCACCUUAGUAUGGGAGACAGAAAAGGACUCACGGAGCAAUAGAAAAAGUACCGCAAGGGAACGCUGAAAGAGAAAUGAAAUAAAUCAAUAAUGCACAAAAAAGCAGAGACUCCCCCUCGUACCUUUUGCAUCAUGACUUAGCUAGUUAAACUCAAGCAAAGAGGACUUUAGUUUGAAACCCCGAAACUAGAUGAGCUACUCCAAGACAGCCUAUAAAUUAGGGCGAACCCGUCUCUGUGGCAAAAGAGUGGGAAGAUCUUCGAGUAGAGGUGAUAAGCCUACCGAAUCUAGUUAUAGCUGGUUGCCCGGGAAUUGGACAGAAGUUCAGCCUCCCAGAUUCUCUACUCCAACAAUGGCUCAGACCCUGAGAAGUUGGGAGAGUUAGUCAAAGGGGGCACAGCCCCUUUGACACAAGACACAACUUUCACAGGUGGAUAAAGAUCAAAAUUAACAAAGAUAAAACACUCAAGUUGGCCUAAAAGCAGCCACCAUUAUAGAAAGCGUUAAAGCUCGAAUAUGCGUAUAUUCUGAUUAUCCUGAUAACCCCAUCCUAAUCCCCUGAACCCUACCAGGCCCCCCAUGCCCCCAUAGAAGUGACUAUGCUAAUAUGAGUAAUAAGAGGCAAAAUUGAGCCUCUCCUUGCACAUGUGUAAGUCGGAACGGACCCCCCACCGACCCCUAACGGCCCCAAACAACAGAGGGUAUUGGAUAACAAACUCAACAACUAGAAAACCUCCCAGUAAAACCCCGUUAACCCUACACCGGAGUGCAAAUAAGGAAAGACUAAAAGAAAAAGAAGGAACUCGGCAAACACAUAAAGCCUCGCCUGUUUACCAAAAACAUCGCCUCUUGCAAAAACAACGAAUAAGAGGUCCCGCCUGCCCUGUGACUUUAAGUUUAACGGCCGCGGUAUCCUGACCGUGCAAAGGUAGCGCAAUCACUUGCCUUUUAAAUGAGGGCCUGUAUGAAUGGCACCACGAGGGUUUAACUGUCUCCUUUUUCCAGUCAAUGAAAUUGAUCUCCCCGUGCAGAAGCGGGGAUGAGAACAUAAGACGAGAAGACCCUAUGGAGCUUUAGACACCAAGACGGCCCAUGUUAAACACCCCCAAACAAGGGACUAAACCAGAGGGUGCCCGUCCUAAUGUCUUUGGUUGGGGCGACCGCGGGGAAAUAAAAAACCCCCAUGUGGAAUGCAAGAACUUCCUGCUAAGACAAAGAGCCACCGCUCUAAUCAACAGAAAUUCUGACCAAUCAGAUCCGGCAAGGCCGAUCAACGGACCUAGUUACCCUAGGGAUAACAGCGCAAUCCUCUUUUAGAGCCCAUAUCGACAAGGGGGUUUACGACCUCGAUGUUGGAUCAGGACAUCCUAAUGGUGCAGCCGCUAUUAAGGGUUCGUUUGUUCAACGAUUAAAGUCCUACGUGAUCUGAGUUCAGACCGGAGCAAUCCAGGUCAGUUUCUAUCUAUGACACAUUCUUUUCUAGUACGAAAGGACCGAAAAGAAAAGGCCCCUACUCAAAGCACGCCUUACCCCACCUAAUGAAGACAACUAAAAUAGGUAAAAGGAUUCACCAUAAUUGCUUAAGAAAAAAGCGCGUUAAGACAGCACA
rnacentral:rRNA from 1 species